CCAUUCUGCAGAAUAAGGAUCAGAACUUUACAGAGGUAAACUGUGUCUGUUCUUUUUACUAUUACAGCAGUUCAUCGUGGCCCUGUCAUUCGCCUCCUUCACCAAAGCUCUGUCAGCGACCUACAUGAAGAGUGCCAUCACUCAGAGAGACACUUUGACCUGUCCAGCUCUCUCAUCGGACUCAUAGACGGCAGCUUUGAGAUGGGUAACCUGCUGUUCCUGGCUGUGGUCAGCCAUUUUGGGGCGAAGCUGCACCGGCUCAGGCUCCCCGUGUCCUUGUUCAGAUAAUCACCCCAGUUGGCCUUUUUCUCUUCAUCUAGUAUGCCCAACAUUGACAACGGUGUACAGUUAAAUCUCGGAUUCCCCUGUGGAUGAUAUGGAGAGGUUCUGGAAUUGGCUAUUCCCGUACAGUUCUGCAAGGCUCUGAAUAACUGAUUUUCAAACUCUCUUCACUGAUCAUGAUGGAUUUUUGACACAAAGCCAAACUUUGGGAAAAAAUCAUCGAAAAGCUUUUUUGCUGCAGUUUUCCCUGACUUAUUUCUAGUGGGGUAGGCUUGUGCAAAUUUUGUAAAGUUAUCUAAAAUAACUCAAAUGUACUCAUAGCCCCCUCUGCUUUUCUCCAAAUGCACAUAGUCAAUUGAAAUCAUCUGGAAAGGAGCUGUAGCUCGUACAUGUUGCAUUGGGGCCCUAGUUAUUACACUGGGUUUCUUUUGUUUGAUAUACUUACACACUUUGGUGAUAAAGUGUUCAAUGUCGUGUUGCAUGCGCGGCCAAUAAAAACGUUCUCGUGCUAAGUUCAACACUCUUUCUGUUCCUAGAUGGGCCAUUUCAGUGUGUAAGUACUUGUAAAUCAGUGUUCUAUACUGACUUGGUACCACAACUUGUUUCCUUUCUGCUGUUUUCCUUUGUAAUAAUCCAUCUGGUGAGACAUGGAGCCUGUUUCACUCUCGCAGUAACUGUUUGACUUUGUAUGACUCUUGUUGACAUUCUGUUGGUUUAGGCUUAGUCCCGCUUAGUCCUUUGACUUUUCAGUUCCAAGAUUCUCGAUACAGCCGCAUCCUUUAAUUGAGCCUGCAUGAUAUCGUGUGGAGACAGUCGGUCUGUAACUGUUCCACCCCACCAUGACAGCUCAUCUUGCACUGAUGGCCUUAGUGUGACCGUGGAUAUCCACGUUACACAGUCAUUCUGUUGUGUCUGAACAUUAUUGAGUGUUGCUUUUACCAUUUCAAGUGAGUGUUUCUCAGUGCAUUCUUCCAUGUAAUGUUCAGCAUGCAAAGGAGAGCGUGACAGAAAGUCUGUGUCAUUGUUUACCUUUCCAGGACGAUACUUCAGUGUGAGAUUAAAGUCAGACAGCUCUGCCACCCAGCGAUGACCGGUGGCAUUCAGUCUUGCUGUAGUUAGUACAUAUGUCAAGGGGUUAUUAUCACUGUACACUGUCACAGAGGGAGCAUAAAAUAGGUAAUCUCGGAACCGCUCAGUCACUGCCCAUUCGAGGGCCAAGAAUUUCAGUUUCCCUGAGUGAAGGUGAUAGUUUCUCUCUGCUUGAGUCAGGAUGCGGGAGCCAUAUCCAAUGACUCUCAGUUUGCCACUUUGUCGUUGGUAUAACACACCUCCCAAUCCUUCUUCAGAGGCAUCAACAUGCAGGAUAAAAGGCUCCUUGAAAUCUGGGUAAGCAAGCACAGGUGGAUUAGUCAACACACUCACCAAGUGUUCUAAUGCUCUCUGGUGAGCAUCCUCCCAUAUAACUUUCUGGUGGGGCAGAGCCUGUCCCGACUGCACAGCUACCUUGGUCCUUCGCUUCCCGGAUGCUGGGGUCUUCGUCUUUACUGCUAGUAAGUCAUAGAGACAUUUAGCAUGUUGUGAAAAGUUCUGUACAUAACCCCUAUAGUACCCUAGAAACCCCAGUAGUUUCCUCAGCCUGCUCACGUUUGUUGGUGGCCUGUUUACCAGUUCUUGCACUGCUACAAUUUCUUUAACAUCCAUUCUGUAACCCUCAGCAGAAAUCAUUUUUCCUAAAUAACAGACCUCAUUCUUGAUUAGGUCACACUUAUCAGCCCUGAGUUUAAUACCCCAUUUAUUUUGCUGCCUAAGUACCUGACGGACAUCUUCCACAUGUUGUUCAAAUGACUGACUAAAAAUAAGAAUGUCAGAAUCUGUAUACCAUAUUUGGAUAUCUCUUAUCCCCUCUAAACUUUCCUCCAUGCUUCUUUGGAAGGCACUAUAUGAAAAACUUCUCGUUCAUCAUCACCAACAAACGACUAAGUCAUGUGAACCUUGAAAACAUGAGAGACCGCUUUUUAAGUUUUGCCAGCCAAGUGCAACCACCCAAGGAGGAUCGGGUGGUUCAAAGGUAGGAUUCAUUCUGGUAGGUUAGGUAAUAACUGGCAAAAGUCAACAUUAACCGGCACAACUACCUAGUAAUGUUAGCUUGCUAAUGAUUGCAACAGCUACCGUAGGGUGCUGUAUGAGUAUGGGCGGCGUCGAUUAUGCUGAGUGUCAUUAUUGUAACUUUUACAACGUUUGCACAUGUCAGAUUUCAAUCGUUCAGGAGACGGAAUAAUGCUGGAGUCCAAAGGCGGCAAACCGGGAGAAGCAGGUUGAUAACUAUGAGAGUUUGCCUGAUCGCUGACCCUACCAUCCGGCAGCUGAACAGGAUAGGUUCAAAUAUCGUCUCAACUCUCUUGGGCUGCUUGAAGCAUUGGGGAACCACCCGGACAGCUUCCGAGCACUUUUUGUGGACUCCAUAAAGCCUCCCACUGCCAGGGACCUGUUCAAAGUAACCUAUUCAAACCUGGCAGCAACCGGCGGUGUUUGGAGAACGACACCAUCUGCCACUGGUUCAACUGGCUGGCUGAGGUGCAAGAUGGAGAAUGUCCUCCUCUAACAGUGGCGAUGGUGUUGGAGUUUGUUACUGGGGCAACGGUGGUGCCACCCCUUGGGUUUGAGGACACCCCGACCAUCGAAUUCCUCCACACAGCGCGAGGGCGUCUCGCUGGGCAGCAGAAGAAAAAGUACCCAGAGGCAAACACGUGUGCUGUGACACUAAGGCUCCCUCUUCAUAGCACCUACAAUGCCUUUAGGGAAUUCAUGACCUCCGGUAUUGUGAAUUCCCCACAUUUCGGUGUUGCAUUAAAACGUUUUUAUGAUACAUAAUUGUAUCUAGUAGCACUAAACUACAGUAGCAAUUGAGUGUUUGAAAAUGUAACUGCACAUCAACAUUUAAGCAUUUAUCUACUUACAUCUGUAUUGUUUGUACAGUGCAUUCGGAACGUAUUCAGACCCCUUGACUUUUUCCACAUUUUAUUACGUUACAGCCUUC